rnacentral:rRNA from 1 species
UACGUAGGGUGCGAGCGUUGUCCGGAAUUAUUGGGCGUAAAGAGCUCGUAGGCGGUGUGUCACGUCGUUCGUGAAAACCUGCAGCUUAACUGUGGGCGUGCGGUCGAUACGGGCAUCACUGGAGUUCGGCAGGGGAGACUGGAAUUCCCGGUGUAGCGGUGAAAUGCGCAGAUAUCGGGAAGAACACCCGUGGCGAAGGCGGCUCUCUGGGCCGAUUCGUGACACUGAGGAGCGAAAGCGUGGGGAGCGAACAGG